UGACUUGGCAGAUGAAAUGCGUUUGAUUUAGGAUCAAUCUAUAAUAUUUUAAUAUUAGUCGU
rnacentral:tRNA from 1 species